ACCUCAUGCGCUGUAGUAUUAAUUUAUUAAGUACCAUCCACUACAUUAAAAAUAGAACUGGAGUAUAGUUAACUUGACAAAUACUGGUAAUAUUAAGCAGUCUAGCUGGGCUGGCCGGCAUGAGGAGAUAGAGGAGAGGACAAAUACACGCUAUACCCAGGCCUAGGCUGGCAUGUGUUCAAAUCACUAAAAGACGACGACCUUGCCGGCCUCCCUUGCUAUCUGUCAAUAUCUAAUCUCAAUAAUUCUUGUCGUAAGCAUAUAUAGUAUUUACUUACAAGCCACACAUGUUAUGCCAAAGAGUACCAACGGCGGAGACAGUAGCUCAAAAUCUCCAAGGGCGCAACAUUCAAUUAUUCAAUUACUAAUGUCGAAGUACUCCCUCCGAUCCAUAAUAAGUCGCCGGGGGGAGAGAGACGGUCGCCAAUCGGGGCAGAGGCGGACGGCGACGCCCGACGUCUGCUGAACCCUGACGAGACGAGGCUGGGGCGAGUUCCUGAUCUAGCACUAGCAGGCGGGGCCAGCGGGCGCGGAGGAGGGUGGAGGUGGGCAGCGGGCCUAGGCAGCCAGCAGCAGCACCGUGGCCGGCGGGCGUCCGGUGGCGGCGCUCUCUCUGUGGCUCUGUCGACAUCUCUCUCGAUUAAUUUGCCGUGCGUUCUUUGGACCCUGGGCUAGGCAGAUUGGCCCAGGCUGGUAAUUUUUUUGUUCAGAUCCUGUCCUAAAUGCAGUAAAUCACUAGUACUCCAUACAUGGUUCAGUUGGAGACUGUCUGGUGUUCAUCGAGCUUCUGUCCUCGAAUCAACCAUUAUCGAGCUUUUGUCCGUCGCCCCAUGUGGACCAUUACGGCCGGGAGCAACCACCUCUCGGCUGACUAUGUGCUGAGCCGCCUGCAUAGGAUGUUCUUUGCAGGAGAAUACAAACAUAUUUGUCCCUGGUGAUCCAUUGAAAUGUACCAGGAUCCUAUGAGGAUUAAUCAUACAUCUGACCCAUUCCUUUUUUUUUCUGUUCUGCUCGUGGGUUAGCUUUAAUUAGGAGGCACAAUUGUAAAAGAAGAAGAAGCAAAAUUGUUGCUUACUGAUUGAUGAGUCACCGUGCACCAA